rnacentral:rRNA from 1 species
UGGGGAAUAUUGCACAAUGGGCGCAAGCCUGAUGCAGCCAUGCCGCGUGUGUGAAGAAGGCCUUCGGGUUGUAAAGCACUUUCAGCGGAGAGGAAGGCGAUAAGGUUAAUAACCUUGUCGAUUGACGUUACCCGCAGAAGAAGCACCGGCUAACUCCGUGCCAGCAGCCGCGGUAAUACGGAGGGUGCAAGCGUUAAUCGGAAUUACUGGGCGUAAAGCGCACGCAGGCGGUCUGUCAAGUCGGAUGUGAAAUCCCCGGGCUCAACCUGGGAACUGCAUUCGAAACUGGCAGGCUAGAGUCUUGUAGAGGGGGGUAGAAUUCCAGGUGUAGCGGUGAAAUGCGUAGAGAUCUGGAGGAAUACCGGUGGCGAAGGCGGCCCCCUGGACAAAGACUGACGCUCAGGUGCGAAAGCGUGGGGAGCAAACAGG